AAUAUGCCCGGUACUAAGGAAUAGCCUUUGGAAACGAAGAGUAAUACUUUAUACGCCCUUCGGGGGAAAGAUUUAUCGGUAUCGGAUUAGCCCGCGUAAGAUUAGAUAGUUGGUGGGGUAAUGGCCUACCAAGUCUACGAUCUUUAGCUGGUUUUAGAGGAUGAUCAGCAACACUGGGACUGAGACACGGCCCAGACUCCUACGGGAGGCAGCAGUGGGGAAUCUUAGACAAUGGGCGCAAGCCUGAUCUAGCCAUGCCGCGUGAGUGAAGAAGGCCUUAGGGUCGUAAAACUCUUUCGCCAGAGAUGAUAAUGACAGUAUCUGGUAAAGAAACCCCGGCUAACUCCGUGCCAGCAGCCGCGGUAAUACGGAGGGGGUUAGCGUUGUUCGGAAUUACUGGGCGUAAAGCGCACGUAGGCGGACUGGAAAGUUGGGGGUGAAAUCCCGGGGCUCAACCUCGGAACUGCCUCCAAAACUAUCAGUCUAGAGUUCGAGAGAGGUGAGUGGAAUUCCAAGUGUAGAGGUGAAAUUCGUAGAUAUUUGGAGGAACACCAGUGGCGAAGGCGGCUCACUGGCUCGAUACUGACGCUGAGGUGCGAAAGUGUGGGGAGCAAACAGGAUUAGAUACCCUGGUAGUCCACACCGUAAACGAUGAAUGCCAGUCGUCGGCAAGUAUACUUGUCGGUGACACACCUAACGGAUUAAGCAUUCCGCCUGGGGAGUACAGUCGCAAGAUUAAAACUCAAAGGAAUUGACGGGGGCCCGCACAAGCGGUGGAGCAUAUGGUUUAAUUCGAAGC
rnacentral:rRNA from 1 species